AAUUAUCAUGAAACAUCAUGAUUAUAAUGGAUAUUGGUGUUGAAUUUUAAUUAGUUGAAAUUGUAGUAGGCCAAUUUGCCCGGCCCGUUAAUAAAAUAAACCAAACCAAAUAAUAAGUCCAAUUAAUGUCCAUUUUACAUAGCCCAAAUCACUACCCAAAUACAGCCAAACCCUAGCCCAACAGGCCCACAACACAAACAUUUCAGCAAACCCUAGGGCGCCGCUCCUGCCUCUACCCAACCCCAGCGCCGCACGCCUCUUCGCCACGUGCGAUGCCUCACACGAGCCGCUCCAUGUCCCAUCUGGCCCUCGUACGACCGUACCUGCAACGCAACAAACAAGCAAAAACAAGCAGAGGCAGCAAAAAGCAUAGAAAAACAGAAAUAGCAGAGGGGGAUUUUGUAUCAUUUUCUUUUUAUUAUAAUUUGUAUUUUCGGGGACUAUAAAACCCCAUAUUUCUGUAUUGUGGGGGGCUUCUUCUUCCCUUUUUACACACAUUGAAUACAAAAAAAGAUUAAAGAGAAAUACAAAAGAAAUUUGUUCUUUGAAUAGAGGUGAUUGUUUCGUUCUAUUUUUGUUUGAUAUUCGUCAUUUUUAGAUUAUUUAUUCUUCUUUUUAUUUUAUUUUUCGCUCAAAAUAUAAAGAAGGGGGAAAAGGGAACCAUACCUUUUUCGCCAGAUUCACCGGAUUAGUGUCGUCUCCGUCGCAAUCGGAGCGUCGGCAAGAGGGAACGGCGGCAUAGCAGCUAAGGUUGAAAACCCUAGCAGAGAGCUUUUGCUUUCUUUUGUUUUUUUUCUUC
rnacentral:lncRNA from 1 species